CCCUUAGAUGUCCUGGGCCGCACGCGCGCUACACUGAUGCAUUCAACGAGUUUUACCUUGGCCGAGAGGCCUGGGCAAUCUUUUAAACCUGCAUCGUGAUAGGGAUAGAUUAUUGCAAUUAUUAAUCUUGAACGAGGAAUUCCUAGUAAACGCAAAUCAUCAAUUUGCAUUGAUUACGUCCCUGCCCUUUGUACACACCGCCCGUCGCACCUACCGAUUGAGUGGUCCGGUGAGGCUUUGGGAUCUGAGCGGAAAGAGCGUUUCGCUGUUUCUGCUCGGAAAACUCAGUCGAACCUUAUCAUUUAGAGGAAGGAGAAGUCGUAACA
rnacentral:rRNA from 1 species